rnacentral:rRNA from 1 species
UAUUGGACAAUGGGGGGAACCCUGAUCCAGCGACGCCGCGUGAGUGAAGAAGUAUUGCGGUAUGUAAAGCUCUAUCAGCAGGAAAGACAGAAAUGACGGUACCUGACUAAGAAGCCCCGGCUAACUACGUGCCAGCAGCCGCGGUAAUACGUAGGGGGCAAGCGUUAUCCGGAUUUACUGGGUGUAAAGGGAGCGUAGACGGCGAUGCAAGUCUGAAGUGAAAGGCGGGGGCCCAACCCCCGGACUGCUUUGGAAACUGUAUGGCUGGAGUGCAGGAGAGGUAAGUGGAAUUCCUAGUGUAGCGGUGAAAUGCGUAGAUAUUAGGAGGAACACCAGUGGCGAAGGCGGCUUACUGGACUGUAACUGACGCUGAGGAGCGAAAGCGUGGGGAGCAAACAG